GCCAGCCCGCUCAGAAACUCAAAGGAAGUUGACGGGGCCCGCACAAGCGGUGGAGUAUGUGGUUUAAUUCGAUGCAACGCGAAGAACCUUACCUGGUCUUGACAUCCCGGAGACCCUUAGGAAACUAGGGGGUGCUUCCAUCUGGAAGAAUCUGGAGACAGGUGCUGCAUGGCUGUCGUCAGCUCGUGUCGUGAGAUGUUGGGUUAAGUCCCGCAACGAGCGCAACCCUUGCCUUUAGUUGCCAGCAGUUCGGCUGGGCACUCUAAAGGGACUGCCGGUGUUAAACCGGAGGAAGGUGGGGAUGACGUCAAGUCCUCAUGGCCUUUAUGACCAGGGCUACACACGUACUACAAUGGCCGAUACAAAGGGCAGCGACACUGCGAGGUGAAGCCAAUCCCGUAAAAUCGGUCUCAGCCCGGAUUGGAGUCUGCAACUCGACUCCAUGAAGUUGGAAUCGCUAGUAAUCGUGGAUCAGCAUGCCACGGUGAAUACGUUCCCGGGCCUU
rnacentral:rRNA from 1 species